rnacentral:lncRNA from 1 species
UAGAUCCUUUGUUACUAUGUCAGUUGUUCACUGGCAAAAGGUUGCAUUGUUAUUCUUUUAAUUGGGCACAUGCACAUACUAGAUAAACAUCGGAUCAAAUUCUUGAAAUACGUUUUACCAAAAUCAUAUUGUUCAGCAACAACACAUGGAUAUGGAUAUAAUCUCAGAACUGCAGCCAAGAAGAAGAAAGCAUUGAAAGAUGACAAAGUAAUGGAAGUAUAGACCAAUUCAUGCUGGUGUAAACUAUAGUAGAAAAGUUAGUAGAUUUAUCAGAUCAUUGGGACCUUAGGUCCAAAGAAAGUAAGCCAUGACCAGUUGAUCACCUCAUUCAGAAGAAGAACAAUCAUCAUACUGCGAAAUUUACGCUACUACAUUACCUUAGCACAAACCAGCUCAGAAUCUAAUAACUUUCUCUACGUAAGUUUCAGCAUUAUCAACUCUAAAAGAUUGCUUUUUAAACUAUUUUGCAGCCUAAAUGAGUAAAAGAAACACAAUCACAGUUUGUUCACAAAUUAAUACUACAUAAGUUACUGGUAUAAUAGAUAAGCAUGGCUAUACUGAACCAAAUGAAAAUAUUUCAAGAAGCAACUACAGGACAUUUCACAACGAAUAGGAGAAUAUAACAUAUCGAUAUCAGGCAUAAUAUAAAAUUGAUUCCAACUCCAUAAAAAAGACACCCAAGUUAAUUCCAAAAAACAGAAACAGGUUCUAUGGUGGGGCUAGAACAACUAACAGGUCACAAGACAAUUCCUCAAAUCACAUGCAGUAUAUGCCUGGAAUUGAUGUAACACUGCUAGUCUACUACCUCAAUGUUGGAUAAGAACUAAAGAACCAAAGAUGUGGUUCUGGUGGCACAACAUCCUACAAAAUGGGAAAAUUAAAUGACUACAUAUAAUGAGGAAAUCACUCAAGAAGACAGAUUGAGAUUGGUACAUAAAUUGUAAUUUGGAUAAGGUAAGAUGAAAAGGUUGGAAUAUCCUAUAAGCACUAAUGCCAAUUAAUAGAUCAUGUUCAUUAUCAGUUCACAGAAACAAUAGAAAUUGAACAAAAUAAUAUCAAGAAUACCUAUCUAUCCCCAGAGAUGGUCCUUGAAAAUGACAAAAUUGAAAGGAAAAGUUAUUCUUUAAUUAGAUAACUCAAAACCAAUCAUAUAGAGAUGAUUAAGGUAUUUGGUAAGCCAAUAUCCAUAGAGGCAGUCCAUCCAAAUACAUUAUUAUGCCCACAAAAUCAUUAACCACAACACAAUCAAAGCAACAAGAGCCAAAGAUAGUAUCUUUAACCAAUUACAAUAUCAUAAUCAAUCUGGAAAUCUUACACUACAACAACUUUAAAUAACAAUCAGACGAUCAAAUCACAUAAAACAACAACAACAACAACAAUAACCCAAUAAAAUCCCACAAAGUGGGUCUGGGAGGGUAGUGUGUGCGCACAAAUUACCCCACCCCAUACAACAGAGGUUAGUUUCCGAUAGAUCUGAUCAAAAUAACAUAGUGAGUAAUAUUUUGUAGAUAACAAGCAAAAUGAAAAAGUGGAACUUGGCAUGUGGGUAUUCACAAAAAGAUACAAAAAUAAAAUCUUUAACCAAUUAAAGAAACCACAAUCAGCCCAAGAUCCUUUUCCCAUAUAUUUAAACCAUCAAAAUAUUAUGUUUUGGUGGCUAAGAAAAAUAAAGAUACAUAUAAGGUAUCAAUUAGCAUGUGGGUGUGAAUCUUCAAGAUCCAAAUCAGAAUCUGAGGAUGAAGAGGAAGAGGAAAAAGCAUAUGGGUUUGGUAAAGGGAAACAAAAAAAGGUCCAAAGACAAAGAGCAAAACGCCUGAAUUGUUGACACGGGAAACAGAAGAGAAGAUAAAGAACUUCAUCACUUCUCAGUCUUUCUGGAUUACAAGCUAUGUAUUGGCAUAAAUCUGCGGAUAUAUUAGCCACACCCACAAUUAUUGGACUGUUAAAUACCAUUUCUUUUCUUCUGAGUUUUCUUUUCUUCUGUACUUCUCACCCUUUUUGCUGCAAAGAUUUGAUUAUGAUACAAUUUUCAGGUAUCAAUAGAUUGACAUGAAGAUGUUGCCAUGCGGUUUACCCGUGUUAAGGUUUUCAAUAUUUUAUUAUUAUUUUUCUUUAUAAAGCAAACUAGACAAAAGAAAAGGAAUUUUUUUCUGUUGCUUUAACAAGGGAUUUUAAACUAUGUUUUAUCAAAUUCAUGCACUUGCAAGUCGUCAUAAUUAAUUAGUUUUAUAAUGAUUGUUGAUUUGUCGUGAUUAUUUUCCUUUAUUCAGAUUUGGAAAAUUUGAGAUUUUUACCUAGUUACUAUUAUGCUAGGAUAUAAAUUGAUUUACCUCCAAUAAAUAAGUUAUCACUUAGAGAGGGUUUGACUAAGUUUAUAAGCUGGUCAAAUCGGCUUAUAAGUACUUUUUCGCUUAUGUACGUGUUUGGUAAAUUGAAAGUACUUCUAAGUUAAGUGCUUGCCAAAAGCUAUAAGUUGAUCUCCCCAAACUUAUCAAAUUUCAGCUUAUAAACACUUUAAGUUCGACCAAAAUAUUUACUAUUCUAUCCCUAAAAUAAUUCUUUUUAAACAAAACUCUUCGUAUACCCAAUUCUUCACCUACUUAUUAUUAAUUUCAGCACUUUUACCCAAACAGCUAACUGCUUAUUUUUUAAAUCAGCUUUAGCACUUGAAAGUGUUUUUCAGCACAUAAUGCUUAUCAGCUACUCUAAAUCAGCUAAGCCAAACAGGCUCUUAGUUAUAACCCCUUCCAGCGGCUUCUGAAACUUUAUUUAAUCGAUUUAGAAGAGACAAAGAGAACCCUGUUUUGUAUUCUUUUUUAAAAAUAUUUUAGCUAGCGUUUGAAUAUAGAUUUAGUUGAAACUUGAAAAGAAUAAUUUUUGGAAGUUGAAACUAUGUUAGGACAUGCAUUUUAUUUGAAAAAAAUUUAAAGUUUUGUGAAUAAGAGAACAAGUUUCACCCAAAGUCUACCCUAAAAAAUAAUUUUAAAAAUAGGUCAUUAAUUUAUGAACAAAUAAUAUUUUCAAAAAAGAUUUGAAAAAAUAUUCCCAUAUUGUAUGGCCAAACGGGGCCUUAAUCUCUUCUUCCUCUCCUUUUCAGUGUCGUCAUCAUCGUUCGAGCAUUAAGCUCCAUUUUUAAGCAGUUGCUCGAGGAAGCCAUAGCUUGUUGCUCAUCGCCGCUCAUCGUCGGAGCUCUUUA